rnacentral:rRNA from 1 species
GACGAACGCUGGCGGCGUGCUUAACACAUGCAAGUCGAACGGAAAGGCCCUGCUUUUGUGGGGUGCUCGAGUGGCGAACGGGUGAGUAACACGUGAGUAACCUGCCCUUGACUUUGGGAUAACUUCAGGAAACUGGGGCUAAUACCGGAUAGGAGCUCCUGCUGCAUGGUGGGGGUUGGAAAGUUUCGGCGGUUGGGGAUGGACUCGCGGCCUAUCAGCUUGUUGGUGGGGUAGUGGCUUACCAAGGCUUUGACGGGUAGCCGGCCUGAGAGGGUGACCAGCCACAUUGGGACUGAGAUACGGCCCAGACUCCUACGGGAGGCAGCAGUGGGGAAUAUUGCACAAUGGGCGGAAGCCUGAUGCAGCAACGCCGCGUGCGGGAUGACGGCCUUCGGGUUGUAAACCGCUUUCGCCUGUGACGAAGCGUGAGUGACGGUAAUGGGUAAAGAAGCACCGGCUAACUACGUG